GCGGGUAUCGUAUAUUGGUAAUACCACAGCUUUCCAAGCUGUUGCGGGGGGUUCGAUUCCCCCUACCCGCUCCA
rnacentral:tRNA from 1 species